rnacentral:rRNA from 1 species
AGGAACCGUACCCCAAACCGACACAGGUGGUUGGGUAGAGAAUACCAAGGCGCUUGAGAGAACUCGGGUGAAGGAACUAGGCAAAAUGGCACCGUAACUUCGGGAGAAGGUGCGCCGGUGAGGGUGAAGGACUUGCUCCGUAAGCCCAUGCCGGUCGAAGAUACCAGGCCGCUGCGACUGUUUAUUAAAAACACAGCACUCUGCAAACACGAAAGUGGACGUAUAGGGUGUGACGCCUGCCCGGUGCCGGAAGGUUAAUUGAUGGGGUUAGCUAACGCGAAGCUCUUGAUCGAAGCCCCGGUAAACGGCGGCCGUAACUAUAACGGUCCUAAGGUAGCGAAAUUCCUUGUCGGGUAAGUUCCGACCUGCACGAAUGGCGUAACGAUGGCGGCGCUGUCUCCACCCGAGACUCAGUGAAAUUGAAAUCGCUGUGAAGAUGCAGUGUAUCCGCGGCUAGACGGAAAGACCCCGUGAACCUUUACUAUAGCUUUGCACUGGACUUUGAAUUUGCUUGUGUAGGAUAGGUGGGAGGCUUUGAAGCGUGGACGCCAGUUCGCGUGGAGCCAUCCUUGAAAUACCACCCUGGCAACUUUGAGGUUCUAACUCAGGUCCGUUAUCCGGAUCGAGGACAGUGUAUGGUGGGUAGUUUGACUGGGGCGGUCUCCUCCUAAAGAGUAACGGAGGAGUACGAAGGUGCGCUCAGACCGGUCGGAAAUCGGUCGUAGAGUAUAAAGGCAAAAGCGCGCUUGACUGCGAGACAGACACGUCGAGCAGGUACGAAAGUAGGUCUUAGUGAUCCGGUGGUUCUGUAUGGAAGGGCCAUCGCUCAACGGAUAAAAGGUACUCCGGGGAUAACAGGCUGAUACCGCCCAAGAGUUCAUAUCGACGGCGGUGUUUGGCACCUCGAUGUCGGCUCAUCACAUCCUGGGGCUGAAGCCGGUCCCAAGGGUAUGGCUGUUCGCCAUUUAAAGUGGUACGCGAGCUGGGUUUAGAACGUCGUGAGACAGUUCGGUCCCUAUCUGCCGUGGACGUUUGAGAUUUGAGAGGGGCUGCUCCUAGUACGAGAGGACCGGAGUGGACGAACCUCUGGUGUUCCGGUUGUCACGCCAGUGGCAUUGCCGGGUAGCUAUGUUCGGAAGAGAUAACCGCUGAAAGCAUCUAAGCGGGAAACUUGCCUCAAGAUGAGAUCUCACUGGAGCCUUGAGCUCCCUGAAGGGCCGUCGAAGACUACGACGUUGAUAGGUUGGGUGUGUAAGCGCUGUGAGGCGUUGAGCUAACCAAUACUAAUUGCCCGUGAGGCUUGACCA